rnacentral:rRNA from 1 species
UACGUAGGGUGCAAGCGUUAAUCGGAAUUACUGGGCGUAAAGCGUGCGCAGGCGGUGAUGUAAGACAGGUGUGAAAUCCCCGGGCUUAACCUGGGAACUGCAGUCGAGACUGUCUAGCUAGAGUAUGGGAGAGGGAAGUGGAAUUUCAGGUGUAGCGGUGAAAUGCGUAGAUAUCUGAGGGAACAUCAGUGGCGAAAGCGACUUCCUGGACCAAUACUGACGCUCAUGUGCGAAAGCGUGGGGAGCAAACAGG